rnacentral:rRNA from 1 species
AACGAACGCUGGCGGCAGGCCUAACGCAUGCAAGUCGAGCGCCCGCAAGGGAGCGGCGGACGGGUGAGUAACGCGUGGGAACGUGCCCUUUGCUAUGGAAUAGCCUCGGGAAACUGAGAGUAAUACCGUAUGUGCCCUUCGGGGGAAAGAUUUAUCGGCAAAGGAUCGGCCCGCGUUGGAUUAGGUAGUUAGUGGGGUAAUGGCCUACCAAGCCGACGAUCCAUAGCUGGUUUGAGAGGAUGAUCAGCCACACUGGGACUGAGACACGGCCCAGACUCCUACGGGAGGCAGCAGUGGGAAUCUUAGACAAUGGGCGCAAGCCUGAUCUAGCCAUGCCGCGUGAGCGAUGAAGGCCUUAGGGUUGUAAAGCUCUUUCGUGGGGGAAGAUAAUGACGGUACCCCAAGAAGAAGCCCCGGCUAACUCCGUGCCAGCCGCCGCCGUAAUAC